rnacentral:pre_miRNA from 1 species
AAAAAGACAAACCCUGGGUUUACGUGUCCAACUUUGACUGUCCGUCUUAUAUGAAAUUUUUUUAUAAUUCGUAUUUUUAUUGUUGUUAGAUGAUAAAACAUGAUUAAUAUUUUAUGCGUGACUUGUCUUUUUAUUUUUUUUUUCAUAAUUUUUUUAAAUAAGACGGACGGUUAAACGUUGGGCACGGAAAUCAGGGUU